GACAGAGGGGGCAAGCGUUGCUCGGAAUCACUGGGCGUAAAGAGCUCGUAGGCGGUGUGUCGCGUCGGCCGUGAAAACCUGCAGCUUAACUGUGGGCUUGCGGUCGAUACGGGCAUCACUGGAGUUCGGCAGGGGAGACUGGAAUUCCUGGUGUAGCGGUGAAAUGCGCAGAUAUCAGGAGGAACACCGGUGGCGAAGGCGGGUCUCUGGGCCGAUACUGACGCUGAGGAGCGAAAGCGUGGGGAGCGAACAGG
rnacentral:rRNA from 1 species